rnacentral:rRNA from 1 species
AGAGUUUGAUCCUGGCUCAGAACGAACGCUGGCGGCAGGCUUAACACAUGCAAGUCGAGCGCCCCGCAAGGGGAGCGGCAGACGGGUGAGUAACGCGUGGGAAUCUACCCUUUUCUACGGAAUAACGCAGGGAAACUUGUGCUAAUACCGUAUGAGCCCUUCGGGGGAAAGAUUUAUCGGGAAAGGAUGAGCCCGCGUUGGAUUAGCUAGUUGGUGGGGUAAAGGCCUACCAAGGCGACGAUCCAUAGCUGGUCUGAGAGGAUGAUCAGCCACAUUGGGACUGAGACACGGCCCAAACUCCUACGGGAGGCAGCAGUGGGGAAUAUUGGACAAUGGGCGCAAGCCUGAUCCAGCCAUGCCGCGUGAGUGAUGAAGGCCCUAGGGUUGUAAAGCUCUUUCACCGAUGAAGAUAAUGACGGUAGUCGGAGAAGAAGCCCCGGCUAACUUCGUGCCAGCAGCCGCGGUAAUACGAAGGGGGCUAGCGUUGUUCGGAAUUACUGGGCGUAAAGCGCACGUAGGCGGAUAUUUAAGUCAGGGGUGAAAUCCCAGAGCUCAACUCUGGAACUGCCUUUGAUACUGGGUAUCUUGAGUAUGGAAGAGGUAAGUGGAAUUCCGAGUGUAGAGGUGAAAUUCGUAGAUAUUCGGAGGGACACCAGUGGCGAAGGCGGCUUACUGGUCCAUUACUGACGCUGAGGUGCGAAAGCGUGGGGAGCAAACAGGAUUAGAUACCCUAGUAGUCC